GGUGAAUACGUUCCCGGGCCUUGUACACACCGCCCGUCACACCAUGGGAGUGGGUUGCAAAAGAAGUAGGUAGCUUAACCUUCGGGAGGGCGCUUACCACUUUGUGAUUCAUGACUGGGGUGAAGUCGUAACAAGGUAACCGUAGGGGAACCUGCGGUUGGAUCACCUCCUUACCAAAAAGA
rnacentral:rRNA from 1 species